rnacentral:rRNA from 1 species
GACGAACGCUGGCGGCGUGGAUUAGGCAUGCAAGUCGAACGGUAGAUAUCCUUCGGGGUAUUGAGAGUGGCGAACGGGUGAGUAACACGUAGGUAAUCUACCCUCAAAUCGGGGACAACCCAGGGAAACUUGGGCUAAUACCGGAUGAGUGCAGCACCUAAAUCAUCCAUACGGAAUCUGGUUAAGAUUGGGUUUUGUAUGGUUGGGUGAUUUAGGUGCUGUAUAAAAGAUGGCUUCGGCUGUCGUUUGAGGAUGAGCCUGCGCUCUAUUAGUUAGUUGGUGAGGUAAUGGCUCACCAAGGCGACGAUGCGUAGCCGACCUGAGAGGGUGAUCGGCCACAUUGGAACUGAGACACGGUCCAGACUCCUACGGGAGGCAGCAGUGGGGAAUAUUGCACAAUGGGCGAAAGCCUGAUGCAGCAACGCCGCGUGAGUGAAGAAGG